AUGUUUGUUGAUCUUUCACCCUUGGAUUCUGCCUCGCAAGUUGUUUGUGGUCCGGCCAGUAGGCAUGAGAGGUACCCAAUGGCCUUCACCCCACCGAGCUUUAGUCUUGGCAUCAGUCAAGAUCAACCAGUGGUGCCAGAUCCUAUGCUAGUUGCCUUUGCUUUCCCGGGAGGCAUGCCUGCAAUGAUGGUGCAGCGAAUGGUCGAGGGCAGGAAGGCUAUCAAGUUCGCAGAGCCGAUAGUCCAAGGAUCGAGGAGGCAUCAUUGCAGAGGAGGUCCUCACGAGGGCAGGGGCAAUCAAGUUCCAACGUGCCUGCAGAUACGGUAUCUAAGGAUACCAUUAGAAGUGCCACCCAUGGUUCUGUGA
rnacentral:rRNA from 1 species